rnacentral:rRNA from 1 species
UACAGAGGGUGCAAGCGUUGUUCGGAAUUAUUGGGCGUAAAGGGUGCGUAGGCGGUGCGGUAAGUCUCUUGUGAAAUCUCCGGGCUCAACUCGGAGCCUGCAAGGGAAACUGCCUGCUUUGAGUAUGGGAGAGGUGAGUGGAAUUCCCGGUGUAGCGGUGAAAUCGUAGAGAUCGGGGAGGAACAUCAGUGGGCGAAGGCGGCCAUCUGGGGACCAACACUGACGCUGAAAGCACGAAAGCGUGGGGGAGCAAACAGGG